rnacentral:rRNA from 1 species
CGGGUGAGUAACACGUGGGUAACCUGCCUGUAAGACUGGGAUAACUCCGGGAAACCGGAGCUAAUACCGGAUAGUUCCUUGAACCGCAUGGUUCAAGGAUGAAAGACGGUUUCGGCUGUCACUUACAGAUGGACCCGCGGCGCAUUAGCUAGUUGGUGGGGUAAUGGCUCACCAAGGCGACGAUGCGUAGCCGACCUGAGAGGGUGAUCGGCCACACUGGGACUGAGACACGGCCCAGACUCCUACGGGAGGCAGCAGUAGGGAAUCUUCCGCAAUGGACGAAAGUCUGACGGAGCAACGCCGCGUGAGUGAUGAAGGUUUUCGGAUCGUAAAGCUCUGUUGUUAGGGAAGAACAAGUGCGAGAGUAACUGCUCGCACCUUGACGGUACCUAACCAGAAAGCCACGGCUAACUACGUGCCAGCAGCCGCGGUAAUACGUAGGUGGCAAGCGUUGUCCGGAAUUAUUGGGCGUAAAGGGCUCGCAGGCGGUUUCUUAAGUCUGAUGUGAAAGCCCCCGGCUCAACCGGGGAGGGUCAUUGGAAACUGGGAAACUUGAGUGCAGAAGAGGAGAGUGGAAUUCCACGUGUAGCGGUGAAAUGCGUAGAGAUGUGGAGGAACACCAGUGGCGAAGGCGACUCUCUGGUCUGUAACUGACGCUGAGGAGCGAAAGCGUGGGGAGCGAACAGGAUUAGAUACCCUGGUAGUCCACGCCGUAAACGAUGAGUGCUAAGUGUUAGGGGGUUUCCGCCCCUUAGUGCUGCAGCUAACGCAUUAAGCACUCCGCCUGGGGAGUACGGUCGCAAGACUGAAACUCAAAGGAAUUGACGGGGGCCCGCACAG